CAGAUCCUGACAGAGGAAGAGAAAAGGAAUCGAAUAAAGAAAGGUAAGUUUGGCAUAACGGGCCGAUUUAAGAGAAAAACACAUAUAUUUAUGUAUUGCAGUAGAAAAAGCAAUGAUUUCACAAUAUCAUUUAUUGUUCUAUCAGUUACGCAACUUAACUUCACGUCUUCUAGGGUUUUAAAAACAUAGCUGUGCUCAGAAUGGC